rnacentral:rRNA from 1 species
CCUUCGGGGGGGGUGCAGUAGGGAAUCUUCCACAAUGGACGAAAGUCUGAUGGAGCAACGCCGCGUGAACGAUGAAGGCCUUCGGGUCGUAAAGUUCUGUUGUAAGGGAAGAACAAGUGCCGCAGGCAAUGGCGGCACCUUGACGGUACCUUGCGAGAAAGCCACGGCUAACUACGUGCCAGCAGCCGCGGUAAUACGUAGGUGGCAAGCGUUGUCCGGAAUUAUUGGGCGUAAAGCGCGCGCAGGCGGCCUCUUAAGUCUGAUGUGAAAGCCCCCGGCUCAACCGGGGAGGGCCAUUGGAAACUGGGAGGCUUGAGUAUAGGAGAGAAGAGUGGAAUUCCACGUGUAGCGGUGAAAUUCUAGAGAUGUGGAGGAACACCAGUGGCGAAGGCGACUCUUGGCCUAUAACUGACGCUGAGCGCGAAAGUACC